AGGCUACUGGAGCAAUGAAGCAGUGAGAAUUGGGUCCUUGAGCGAGGAAGAGGUUGGGAGAUCAGAAUUCUUGUCGCAAGUUGGAAGCCAACCCUGCUGAUAGUCGGUAUGGUGUGGCUUCCGGCGAGUAAUGUCUCCGUUCUUAAAGAAAGGACUGCAAGAAACCAUUCUGAACUGAAUUCCAACAUAGACGGUAAUAAUGAGUGGAUGAGUUCAACGGAUUAAUCUGAAACAUAUUUGGCAGGUUUAUUGCAAUAACUAGCAAAUCCACACACUUCAACUAAAAGUUGUGGAAGAAUUUCAGCAGACUUACAGAAAAAAACAAUAAUUCUGCAAUGACUUGUCCACCUCCCCUGGCGACACUAUCUGAUUUGAUUUUUGUACCCUCAUCAGUCAACUAUCCGGUGCACCUCGUGUGCAGCCAUGAAGAGCCACAGCAGUGUACCCAAAAUGUCUAAGAACUGUGCCAAGCUUUACAUAUUGUUGCCAUGGAUACUUGUGGCAGUGCCUAGUGGGCCUGGGUUCCCAGCUUGCAAAGGAUGCCUGGAAGACAUACACAGUUAGCAUUGAGUAUGAAAAGCUAUAUGUAAAGCUGUAGACCUAUGGAGAUCCUCUCCUGACCAGUUGGGGAAUAUCAAAAGGCUCAUUAAGAGGCAGAUACCACAGCCAAUGGCGAUGGUGUAGAGGCGUUCCUGUGCCAUAUGCAGCACAUUUUGCACGCGAAAGCUAGAUACCGUUAUCAGAUUGAAGUCACCGGAUGCCGUUUGAAAGCGAAUCAUGGCACAUUACAUUACUUUUUUACUGUGUAUCAGACUAUUGGUGUUGUGUACUGAGUGACGUGGCACAUCCUAAUUCGCCUCUGAAUGAUCCGGUAACCACACAGAAUAAUUUCCCUAUAAUUGAGCAUCUGCUUUUAGAUAGCUUGUCAUUUGUCCUUAGGGUGACUUACAUAUAUGCCAUUGAACUCUUUUAUCAUUUACAUACUUUUUUUAUUCACUCAAACUAUU